rnacentral:rRNA from 1 species
AUUGAACGCUGGCGGCAGGCCUAAUACAUGCAAGUCGAGCGAAGCGGCGGAUUGGUGAUUAACGCGUGGGUAACCUGCCCUUAAUUCUGGGAUACCAUUUGGAAACAGCUUCUCAUACCGGAUACUAACCGUUGGACCUGCGAUGCAUUAGCUAGUUGGUAAGGUAACGGCUUACCAAGGCGAUGAUGCAUAGCCGAGUUGAGAGACUGAUCGGCCACAUUGGGACUGAGACACGGCCCAAACUCCUACGGGAGGCAGCAGUAGGGAAUCUUCCACAAUGGACGAAAGUCUGAUGGAGCAACGCCGCGUGAGUGAAGAAGGUUUUCGGAUCGUAAAGCUCUGUUGUUGGUGAAGCGGUAAUCAACCAGAAAGUCACGGCUAACUACGUGCCAGCAGCCGCGGUAAUUC